rnacentral:lncRNA from 10 species
CAUGCCUCCUAGGCUCCACCCUGCCUAGAAAGCCCCUCCCCACCACACCCCCUCAUCCUCAUCAUGCCAACUCAGCCUGCCCUCAGCAACCCCAGUCCACACGAGCCUGCCUCCAGGAAGCUUCCUGGACCUUUCUUCUGCCACCCCCCUCCACCGCAGGCAGACGAUACUCCCUCCACACCAUUUCCUCUGAGUCAACGACCAGCCCAGCGAGUGGCAUGGAGGAGCCCGGCUGAAUAACGUGAGAAGCAAAAGCCCUGACUACAGAAAACGCACUCCCCAUGGUAAUGGAUAAAUGAGCCCUGUGGGAUCUUCCUACGAGAGGCCAUUGCCACCCAGAGCCCCAGAGUCUCCAGGCUCCCAGUUCAGUCUCCACCGUGCAGCCCACAUCUUCAGGUCAGGGAAGUUUCUCUGGUUUACGGACCUCCAGCAGGAUCUCGGGCCCAGCCUCUGCUCUAAAGAUGCACAGAGGAAAAAGUGCUGGGCCAGGUCUCAAGGACCACCCAGGGCACCCGUCAACAGGUGAAGCCAAGCCGAGGAGAGGGCUGAGAAGGCACACACAAAGGCACAGGGAUGAGGAGCAGUGGAGUCUUCUGGGACUCCGAGAGCCCUGUGUGGUCAGAGCAUCAGCGGCAAGGCAGCAGGUCAGCAGAAGCAGGAUCACAUACCCAUAACCUCACUCCCUGGCUGGCUGGAAGUCGGCACGCUGGCCCCUCUGGGCAAGUUUCAUUGCUCACAUUUCAGUCCUGCAAAAAGCCUUUUUCAAUCACUGUCCGUGGCAACGAUAAACUUUAAUGGCUGAGGGAAAGCCUGCAGCUCAGGCGCUCUGUCCUUCCUGCCUCCCUGCCCCACACCAGCCAAACUCCCUCCCUUCUCUCUGCUGGGCCAGAGGCCGAAGCACAGGGGCCAAUAGAGUUGGGAGAGACAUCAUCCACCCCCACCUCACCUCCUUUAUUUUCCAACUUUGGUAGAUCGCAGGCUCUGGAGGCAUAGGAGAAACACCAGGGAAUCAAGAGAGGCCAAAACCCAGCCCAGUACAGAAGCAGACUCUCUGGGGUGGCUCCAGGGCACCAGCGUUUUAAAAAGCUCCCCAGUGGAUUCCAUCGGGCAGGGGGCGUUGAGAACAGCUGCGCCUCCUCCUGGAAAGAGCAGGCAGAGUUUAGAACGAGCAUCUGGGUGAAGACUGGUCCUGGGCUGCCCCCACAGCAGGCACAGGUUCAUGCUCAAGGAAUGAAGAAUGAGUGAAAGAAUAAAUCCAUGAAUGAUUUUACCUACAGUAACUGAUUCAGCCAUCUCAGUGUCCUACAGGUCACCCUGCAUCUCAAGUGGACAGAGACUCACCCACCUUGCACAGUACCCGCUCUGGAAAUGAAGGCAGGAUGUGAAAUAAAGGACCAGCGAGCUAAGUCUGACUCCAAGAGCCUGGCUAUUUUUUCUCAGGCAUCCUUAGCCAACCUGCCUGUGGUUAUGCCAAAGUCCAGGGAUCUAAGGCUGAGGGUCCUGGGGACAGUCAGUCAGAACUGACAGUGGGACUUUGUCUCUCUCAGUGAGGCCCAGGCCUGCCUGGGGGCUCUCAGGGGGAGGGUCACUAGCACCCAGAACCCACAAUCAAGAGGCUGGUGGACUGUUUAAAGAAACUGUCUGAAUUGCAAUUUUUUUUUUUUGAGAUGGAGUCUCACUCUGUCGCCCAAGCCUGAGUGUAGUGGCGUGAUCUCAGCUCACUGCAACCUUCGCCUCCUGGGUUCAAGCAAUUCUUCUAAGUGCCUGCCACUGUGCCCGGCUAAUUUUUGUAUUUUUACUAGAGAUCGUGUUUCACCAUGUUGUCCAGGCUGGUCUCGAACUCCUGACCUCAAGUAAUCCACCUGCCUCAGCCUCCCAAAGUGUUGGGAUUACAGGAAUGACCCACUGCGCCCGGCCCUGAAUUGCAUUAAAAAAAGUUUAUUCCCCCAUGUUGUCUGGCCCCAAAUCCUGCCAUGGAGAACUGGCUUCAAUAAAUGCCCCCUCUGCCAUUCAUCACUUGAGUCUCACUUCCCUCUCCUGCCUCAGCUCAUACCAUUUAUUACACCCACAGUCUCCAAAUGAACAACUUCUGCAACUUACAAACAUACUUGAGAGCUCCACCUGUCCUCCCCAAUCCAUCAAGGCAACAAAAUUCAUUUCUCCUUGGGAGCCUAAAGAAGCCCAGGCUUGGGGACUAAUUAAGCAUUUCCUUUGAAAUGCAUGCAUGCUGUAGAUUGCUGAGGGUGAACUCCAACCUCUAAUAAAAUAGGAACCAGAUGCCAGGAACAGGAGGUGCACAGCAUCCUGCUAUCAUGGCCAUCACCCAGGAGGGACCCGGCGAGGGGCAGCACAGCCUCUGGAGGGCUCUGGCUAAUGUCAAAGUUCAGGUUCACAGCACCAGCUGGAAUUUUUAUUUUGGCCAUCAUCUACAACAAGGAAUGAGUGCCUCCUGACACCCCCAUGAGCACACCAUACCUCCAGCCUUCAUUCCCCCUUCCCUCCUUAUUUUGCACACUCUGGGGAAUCUGGCUGGAGCUCUAAUUCUCCUGCAAAGCCUUCCUGAAAUACUCAAACCUUGAAGGGACUGUUUCCCCUCCCACUACACCCGAUGAGUACUGCAAAGAUACAGCCCUUGGCCACAGAGUGUCAAUUAUUAUAAUAUUAACCACCA